UUUUGCAUUUGUUAUUUUGGUUUUGCAUUUGUUAUUUUGUUUUCGGAUUUGUUGUUUUGUUUUUGCAUUUGUUAUUUUGUUUUCAGAUUUGUUGAUGUAUUUUGCACUUCUCGUCCACCGUAUUAGUAAGAUGCUGAGACGGAUCAAGCAGGUUACUUAUGAAUCUGUCCAUAGUGGUCGGAACAAUUGUCCUACCAAAUCGAUAUCGUUGGGAGACACAGCUAAUCUGCUCUACCAGUACUGUGUACAUUAUGAGGUAAUGGUCUGUGAUAUCAUCACUGAGGUGGUCAUAAACAUCAUAGCUGUCAGGAAUCCACCUGCCACGCCCCCCUCGGCAGCUGUCACGCUGCCUCGUUCUGCCACUCCCAGCAUUAAAGAGAGACAGGUGUCAACAGGUGUUACCGAUUACCCAUAUAAGCUCUCAUUUCCAUCUCACUCGUGUCGGACCUACUCAAUGGCUACAGACACAAACCUCGUUCAAGACUGCUAGCAGGCCCCGCUGGUUCCGUGGAUUACUCUCGUUCCGUGGAUUACUCUCGUUCCUAGGAUUACCUUUGUUCCAUGGAUUAUACCAGUUCCGAGGAUUCUACCUUCCAUGUGGAUUCGACUCCCUUUCCUCAUCGGAUUACACAGGCAUUACAGACCCGACCCACAUCACGGUUUGUAGCGAUCUCGAUACUGUGUUCAUGAACUAAACUCUCGUGAUAAAUAUGAUAGAGCUGCUCCCGCUUCUGGCUCGUGGUUCGUACCCUGACAGAAGGUCCGACCAGUACAGAAGGAGGAAUCACCCUACCGUGAUGGUUCGGCAGCCAAGCUCCGCUUCGGAUUUUACCCGGAAGUUCGCUUCCGCUAGUUUAGGGGAAUUCCCGGCUUGCUUCUCCGGCGAGAUGACAGAGUGGGGGGGAUUCCUACGGAGUGUCGACAGGUAUGUGGAUGUGCAGUCAUCCCAAUUCCCCACCGAGCGGGCCAAGAUCGCCUUUUGCAUUUCCCUCCUGUCUGUAGAUGCUCUCUAUAGAGCCAGCAGGCUGUGGAGCGCCAAGGAAGGCGAUUUUGGUUCUUACGCGGAUUUCAUCAGACAAUGGCAGAUCUCCAUGUCUGCACAGUCCAGAGAUCCUUAGCGCGCGCCGCUCCGAUCCAGUAUUCAGGCGAGGGUGCCGCUCAGCUCCAGGGCCGCGAAAGGGACGUUGUACCGCUGCCUGGGCACGAAAAGGAACGCGUACCGCCGCCGGAGCGCAGCACGAACGGGACGUCCGCGGAUCGAUGGUCUCGCCUCCAAAUUCCCCACAAGGCGACGUCUCGCCUCCUAGUCCAUCUGAAGGUAAGCCCUUUAACGGCAAUGUCUCUUCUCUAAGUGCCUUUCAUGGUGACGUAUCGCCUCCAAAUGUUCCUGACGGCAACGUAUCGCAUCUGAACUACGCCGGCUGUGAGCAUCGCAUGGCCUCUGGACUCCACCGUGGGCGUCGGCCCCCAGUUUCUUCCGAUUUCUGCCGAGAACGUUGCUCUGCCUCUGAUCUCCACUGAGGACGUUGCUCCGCCCCUGAUCUCCCCCGAGGGUGUCUCUCCACCUCCAAUCUCUGCCCAGGGGGUCGUCCAGUCUGUAAGCUCCCCUGAGGACAUCGCUCAUCCCCUGAUCUCCGCCAAGGGCGUCGUGCAGCCUCCGGUCUUCGCCUAGGGUGUCGCUCCGUUCCGGACCUCCGUGGUGGAGGUCACUCCACUCCAGGCCUCCGCAGGGGACGUCGCUCCACCUCAGAUCUGGAGGCUAUUACAACAGUAAAUGGGAACUAAAUGUUGAAUGUGGUCAAGAUGCGCAUAAAAGCCGAGGGAGCGGAGGCGUGUGUGUGUGUGUGCCAGUAGUGCCGUGUGAACACGGAGCGACCAGACACCAGUGUGACAUACCAAAAUAUUAAAUAAAAAGCGGCGGUGACGCCAGUGAACCGA